UACGGGGGGGGGCAAGCGUUGUUCGGAAUUACUGGGCGUAAAGGGCGCGUAGGCGGCCUGCUAAGUCGGACGUGAAAUCCCUCGGCUCAACCGGGGAACUGCGUCCGAUACUGGUUGGCUUGAAUCCGGGAGAGGGACGUGGAAUUCCAGGUGUAGCGGUGAAAUGCGUAGAUAUCUGGAGGAACACCGGUGGCGAAGGCGACGUCCUGGACCGGUAUUGACGCUGAGGCGCGAAAGCCAGGGGAGCAAACGGG
rnacentral:rRNA from 1 species